rnacentral:rRNA from 1 species
GACAUAGGUGGCGAACGUUAUCCGGAUUUAUUGGGCGUAAAGGAUGCGUAGGUGGUCGAAUAAGUUAUUGGUCGAAGUCAGGCUCAACUUGACGGAAGCUGGUAAAACUAUUUUGCUAGAGGAUAGGAGAGGUUAGCGGAACUCUAUGAGUAAGGGUGAAAUGCGCAGAUAUCGGGAAGAACACCCGUGGCGAAGGCGGCUCUCUGGGACGGUACUGACGCUGAGACGCGAAAGCGUGGGGAGCGAACAGG